UAGCUCAGUCGGUUAGAGCUUGGUGCUGAUAAAACCAAGGUCACGGGCUCGAUCCCCGU
rnacentral:tRNA from 1 species